GGGGGCCCGCAAGCAGCGGAGCAUGUGGUUUAAUUCGAAGCAACGCGAAGAACCUUACCUAGACUUGACAUCUCCUGCAUUACCCUUAAUCGGGGAAGUUCCUUCGGGAACAGGAAGACAGGUGGUGCAUGGUUGUCGUCAGCUCGUGUCGUGAGAUGUUGGGUUAAGUCCCGCAACGAGCGCAACCCUUAUUGUUAGUUGCUACCAUUUAGUUGAGCACUCUAGCGAGACUGCCCGGGUUAACCGGGAGGAAGGUGGGGAUGACGUCAAAUCAUCAUGCCCCUUAUGUCUAGGGCUACACACGUGCUACAAUGGCAAGUACAAAGAGAAGCAAGACCGCGAGGUGGAGCAAAACUCAAAAACUUGUCUCAGUUCGGAUUGUAGGCUGAAACUCGCCUACAUGAAGCUGGAGUUGCUAGUAAUCGCGAAUCAGCAUGUCGCGGUGAAUACGUUCCCGGGCCUUGUACACACC
rnacentral:rRNA from 1 species